CUAUUGAGAUGGUUGAGAAAGGAGGUGGGGGAGGACUGACCAUAGGCGCCCCCAUUCAUGUAGCAAGAAAGAGAGAAAGGGCAUGAGUGUGGGUGCCUAUGGUCAGUCCUCCCUCGCCUCCUUUCUCGACCUUCUCAAUAG
rnacentral:pre_miRNA from 1 species